rnacentral:rRNA from 1 species
GACGAACGCUGGCGGCGUGCUUAACACAUGCAAGUCGAACGCUGAAGCUCAGCUUUUGUUGGGUGGAUGAGUGGCGAACGGGUGAGUAACACGUGAGUAACCUGCCUCCUUCUUUGGGAUAACGCCCGGAAACGGGUGCUAAUACUGGAUAUUCACUGGUCUUCGCAUGGGGGUUGGUGGAAAGGGUUUUUCUGGUGGGGGAUGGGCUCGCGGCCUAUCGGCUUGUUGGUGGGGUGAUGGCCUACCAAGGCUUUGACGGGUAGCCGGCCUGAGAGGGUGACCGGUCACAUUGGGACGGAGAUACGGCCCAGACUACUACGGGAGGCAGCAGUGGGGAAGAUUGCCCAAUGGGCGAAAGCCUGAUGCAGCGACGCCGCGGGAGGGAUGGAGGCCUUCGGGUUGUGAAACUCUUUCGGUCAUGGUCAAGCCGCAACAAUGGUUGUGGUGAGGGUAGUGGGUAAAGAAGCGCCGGCUAACUACGUG